rnacentral:tRNA from 1 species
GGUAGGGUGGCUGAAUUAUAGGUGGUAGACUGUAAAUCUACUUAUGAGAAAAUUUUCUCCCCUACCA